rnacentral:tRNA from 1 species
CAAGAAGUAGUUUAAUUAGAAUGCCAGCUUUGGGUGCUGGUGGUGGGGGUUAGUCUUUCCUUCUUGA